rnacentral:lncRNA from 1 species
GCCCUGAUAGAACAGUGUUUCCCAACCUUUGCACCAAGGAGGCGUAAGUACACGCAAAAGGCUUCUGUUCCUGACAGGAGCUUGGCGAAUCUAAGGUGGCAGGCAAUAGUAAUUCGAUGGCGAAGCCAAGUCUUAAGGUGGGAUUGCUCUUUCUCUUGUUUGCCAGAAAGAAAAGGGGUCAAAGUGCAUGUAAGGAUGCUAAGUAUCAAGCCAUGAGUUAAGUAGGCAAUAGCAACUGAGAUUGAAAAGUGUACUGGAUUUAACGCAACAUUAGCAAACAUUGUGGCGUAAGCAACAAGGGUGAAUGGAAUCCAGUGAAAGGCUCCACAGAUGCAAAGAAAUGAGAAAUGUUGAAGGGAUGCAGGCCUUUGAGACAGCCAAAUGAAAAGGAGGUAGACUGUGGCUGCUGCGAGAGUGCUGAGGAAAACAGUCAUAUAGAUGCCCAUCAAGUGGUAAAUGACAUCAUUGUGAGACAUAUUUGGAUUAUGCUGCAUUGCACCCUAAAACCAUGGAAGAAAAAAGUGAAGUGUUAAAUAUGCUGAAGGACUAAUUCUCAGUAUCAUAAAAUACACAAAAACUAAGCCGAGUAAUAUAACAAUUUCAAAACAUUAUUUAUAUAAUUAAGUUUGUUUUUUCAUUUUAGAGAGAAAAUUUUAGAUUAAUUUGUGUUUUUAUUUUAAUUAUUUAUCAAAAAACAAUUGAUAUUUUUCUAAUAAAAAAAAGAUAAUUGAUAUUUUUACUGUUAUUGAACAAUGUUAUUAAAAAAUAGUGGUUAAAAGAUAAUAAUGACUUGUUUUAUGGGUAACAAGUUAUUAGAUGUUUUUAAACAAACCCUGCAUGUUUAAGCAGUUUAAAUUAACGGGAAAUAAGCACCUGUAUAGAUAUAGAAAUCUUUUAAUCUGAAAGAAUUUACCUUUUGAAUAUUUUGAACCUUGACAUAUUUAAAUGGAACCUUGCCUCCUUCACAUUUUUGCAGGGGUGGUACAUGUGCAUCUUCUCCCAAUACAUUUCCUUUCUGGAUUACAGCAUAUGGACCAACUGAAGAAUUUCGUCCGAUUCUAAUUGGGAGGAAGCUUAAGAUUCCAUUCUUCACCUCAUGGGCUUGAAUCAAUGCCCCUUCUGCAAUGACAGCUCCAUCUCCGAUAGAAACCAGAGAUGGGUCUGUUAUGGCAGUAGUAUCUAGUACAACUGAUGACCCAAUCUUGGCUCCAAGCAUCUCAAACCAAUAAUUAAGGAAUGGUGUUCCUCUCAAAUGUUCUGCAAAAACUUUUGAAGAAAUUUCCUGAACCUUAUAAAGCGCCCACCACUUCACAAAAUCUACUGACCAGAUGGAGAUAUCUGGGUUCAGGGCAUAGUUUGGUCUCAAGAAAGAAUUUCCAAGGAAAGCAAUACAAAUACAGGUAGAAACCAUGCAAAAUAUCCAAGCAAGAGGAGCUGAGGCCAAAGGAAUUAAAUAACUUGACCAGUGAAUUUUAUCUAUUGAUGCAUGGUCGGUUGAGGUCAAGGUUGUAAAACCAGAAAUUGAUAAAUAAGCAGGAAAGCUUAGCAUGAUUGAAACAUAAAUGAGAGCAAGAAAUUGUAAAAUCCAAAUAAAGAUUUGGUGAGUCUUGGAAAUUUCAGUUACCGGAUCAAUAGAAUCAAUAUCAGGUUCCGGGAGAUGGGAUGAAGAGUUCAUUAGAUGAGGUUGAGACUUCAUCACAAGAUUUUCUGAAAAGCUUGCCAAUUCUGCAAUGCAAGUGGCCGUGAAGAUAUCCACUGCUCCAACUGGUACUCCUACGAAAUCUGAAAGUUUUUGAGCUGCUCUAACUACACCUAUUGAGUCGAUUCCAUAAGCUACAAGAUUCUCUGUUGCGGAGAUGUUCUUGAUAGGAAUUCCCGUUUGCUCAGAAACAAGCCCUUUUAGAAACUCUACGAUUUCUUUGUUUCCCAAUUUGGGAGUCUGUAUAUGAGAGCUCAGUAGCUGUGGUCGCCGAGGACUUCCUUCCUUACAUUUUCCAGUAGCGAAUGACCGAACCAAUGCUCUUUUUGGUAAAAUUGGGUCUGGUAGAACAUUCAGAGUUCCAUCAGUGAAAAGCUUAAGGCAUUCAAAUCUCUUGAUUUUACCUGAUGUUGUUUUGCUAAUGGUUCUUGGCUUGAUCACCUUGACACAAGCCACAGAAACACCAUGUUCUUCUGUGACAUGGGUUUUAAUGUUUUCAACUACAUCCUUAUCAACUGAUUUACCAUCUCUAACCUCUGCAAUUACAACCAAGCCGACCUGAUCAGAACCAUCUGGAAGUGCAAUCCCUUUAGCUGACAAGACUUCUUCUGGAACACCAAUCACUGCACAACAACCUGGGCGUAGAAGUUCUGAUGCACUUUCAACUGUCUUUUCUACAUCUGCCAAGUAAAUGUUUCGUCCUGCUACAAUGAUUAGAUCUUUGAUUCUUCCAGUAAUGAAUAAUUUCCCAUCAAUAAUUCUUCCCAGGUCUCCAGUACAAGUGUAUAUUCUUCCAGGAUGAUUUUGAAGCACAUUUCUAAAAGUUUUUUGGCUGUCUUCUUCCCUGCCCCAAUACCCAAUUCCAGCACUCGGACUACUAAUCCAUAUCUCUCCUUCCUUUCCAACUUCCUGUAACUCGUCACGACUCUCUGGAUCAACAAUUCUGAUAUCAACAUCUGCAUCAUCUGGAUAAGCAUAACCACAACAAACUCUUCCUUGCCAAUCAAUCAAGAUUGGCAAGCCUUCCCCAUAUGCGCAACUGACAAAUACACAAUUCUCUGCCAAGCCAUAACCAGGAGCCAUCACCUCUUGAGAAAGGCCAAAUGGACGAGUGAGCUCUACAAACAUUUUCAGGGUUUUCUUCCUCACCGGUUCAGCAGCAACCAUUAGGAAAAUCAUGGAAGAGAGCUCAUAAUCAUGUACUUUUCCCCUUUCUGUCUGAAGUCGCCGAACAACUAGAUCGAAAGCAAAGUUGGGACCAGCGCUAUGAGUAGCCUUGUAUUUGCUCAUGAUAUGAAGCCAUAAGAGUGGAUUCUUGAUGAAGGUCAUUGGUGAAAACAGAAAUGCGGAUCCACCACUAACUAGAGCAGUAAAAAGUCCACCAAUUAAUCCCAUGUCAUGAUACUGUGGAAGCCAACUUACUAAUACUGUCUUUGAAGUGCUACUGUACCUCCUCCUCAUCAACUUCACAUUAUGAAUGAGCCCACCAUGAGUUAUCAUGACACCUUUAGCAUCACCAGUAGAUCCUGAUGUAAAUUGCAGAAAACACAAAUCAUCAGGUUGAGAUUCAUAUUGAUAACUCAUAUUUUCUGGAAACAAAUCUGUGGAGUUCUUUAUCCAAACAUCUGUAUAUAACCACGGAAGAUUAGGCCAGCGAGCGGAAGGUUUCCCUUUCUUUACCGUCAAUGAGAUCAAAUUCUUCACAGAACCUACUCGAACUGCUGAGCGAUAAAGACGGGUAGAUAAAAUUGCCACUACAUUACAAUAUUUGGCAAUGUUUUCGAUCUUCAGAAGCGCUUGGCCUCCUCUUUGUAGUGGAUCUGGCGGAAGAACUGGCACUGGUAUGACUUUAGCUAUUAAGCACCCGAAGAAUGCAUCAACGAAGUCCAAGCCUGGUACAUGGACUAGGAGGACCCUGUCCCCAGGUUUGAUAACUGGUUUCUGGCUGGUCAAUAGCUUAUGAGCAAUGCAAGAAGCAUUGUCAAGAAGUUCUGCAUAUGUUCUCUGGAACACCACUGCCCCUUCUUCAUUAAUCCAAUUAUAGAGGGUUUUAUUUUUUGUGUGUCUAUGUGUUCCCCAGUGUUUCAAGUAGCCGGUAAGCGUAGAUAGAUCAGGAAACUCUACACCUGGAAGCUCUCCUAGUUUUUUUGGUUUUCUGUCCCAGCGAUCCGAUUCCAAUGUGAACAGACUCUGCAGUAACACAAGCAACAGACAUGGUAAGCUCUAAAUUACCAAUGUUCAAAUAUUAUUACAUUAUCUGAUUAUCCUACUGUUACUUACAGAAUGCCAAUUACCUUGACAUAUGGAAACCGUGGCAAAGGAUUGUUAUUUGCAAAGUGUUUGCACAUCAGAGCCAUAGCAUAAGAUGAAUUUCUCUCUGUAAGCUCAAAUGCCAUAAGCCCACCUACAUAGUAAGUGUUAUGCAGACCUUGAAGCUCAGAUUCCAAUUUCUGAUAGAAUCCAUCCUUCAUAUCUUUUUUCAUAUCAAAAUAAAGAAAAAGAUAUUAAUAACCUCAUCUGGAAGAGUUCAACGUCACACUUGUAGGAGUAGUUCAACCAGCAAUACCUUGGCUACUAACAUGAGGAAAAUAUCGGAAUCUUCUUUGUAGAACCACUUCCUCAACUUCUGCUCCUAUGUUUUUAACUACUUUGAUGGCAAGAUCAGUGACAGUUGGUCCCUUAAUGUCAACAGAGUUUCCAUAAGAAAAGAACAAGAAAAUAUUACUGUCAGCAUAGAAUUUCUGCAUUGCAACUGGAUGUCCAAUUGUUGAUGGAUCGUCCAUAUAUUCCCUAAAGUAAUAAAAUCCAUUUGGCAUAUCUUCUAGUCCUUUGAUUUUUAAAACAGUGGUGUAAUAGUCGAUUGUCUGAACUUUGCUGAAUAACUCUCUUUCAAGCUCUUCAAGCUCCAUCACUUCAUUUUCAAGUUCUGCAACAAGAAUUCCACCUUAGACUGUUCUAAACAAAUGACUAGAAAUAUAAAUUAAGAGGUGAAGUGCUCAAGAAACCUGUCAAAUUUGAAGUUGGUGAUCUGUAAGUUUUUCCAUGUUUGAAAGGAAAAGCACCAGAAACAAUUAUCUUGUCAAACUUCAUCACUUUGACUUCCCCAUUGCAGUUUCUUACAUCAACACUAACAUUGUCAGAAUUGCGUCUGACUGCCAGUACUUCAGUUCUGCAAAGAACUUCAAUUGGAAGUGAUUCGAUGAGCUUCUGCCAGAGACUAGUGUAUCCACUCUUGAAGCGCCGGAUCUUUCCAGCCAUAGAAGUUCGAGUGAACUCAUGAAUGUACGCGUAAGGCAUGUCCUGAGGAAAUCCAUAACCUGAAGCAGUGUAUCCAUGAGCCACAGAUUUGGGAAUACAUUUAAAUCCGCGACACUCAAGAAAUGCUGGAGUUGAAUCUGAAGCAAAUCCACUCACAGCAUGGACUCCAAUAUGACCUGAAUCUUCUGCCUUAUCCUGGAAAGAUCAAAAAAGAAAGUUACAUUGACAGCCAAGAUUCCAAUAUGAAGCAAAAAUCAAGAACUGCGCAGGGUAAGUGAAACUAACCUGGAGUUCUAAGGUCAGUGAGAUUAGAGAUAUAUAAUCAUCUGCAACUUCAAUGUCCUCAUAUUUUCCUGUGGAGCUGUCAAUUAGAGCAAGCUUGUGUAAGUCCAUUUCUUCCAAUUCAGUCUCGGUUUCCUUUGCAAGUUGAAAGAUGACUGGCGCGCUAUUUUUAGCAAGCACUUGACCACCCACAUCAUAAAUCUUUCCUGCAGAUAGAACAACACUUUUUGAAUAUAUUCACACAUUUUUGUUGUCAAAGCCGACAUUUUUUAAUUUUUUGUGCAUUCUGUACCUUCAAUUUCGACUGAUUCACACAUGCCACCUACUGUAUGAUGCUUUUCCAAUACCGUCACGUUAGAGUAACCAAGCCUAGAUAGUGCAUAAGCAGCUGAUAUGCCACUUGGACCUGCUCCUAUUAUUCCAAUUCUUGUAUUUACAGGUAGACAUGGAUGUAACUUGGAAAUUUGAUCUUCUAUUGGUAUUUUUGGGUCCAUCUCUUGUAACAAAUGCACUUAAUAAAUUAUAUUAUCAAUCAAAGUUCCAAAACAAUAAUAUCAGAGAAACCAACUGAUCAAACAAAGAUUUGAAACACAACCAAAGAUUUGAAAAACAAUUACUGAACAGAUGAAAACAGGUAAUUUUGCUUUUAUUAAGUCUUAACCAAAAAUGUCAAUAAAAAAGUGGUUAGGAGAAACAAACCUUAAGAGAAAAAUACAGAAAAGCACCUUAAGAGUCCUAUUAACGUGGUUGAGAAAUUUCAUGCACUCUGUACAAACACCAUUGUAUUUGUCUCCAGAAGUUAAGAAAUCAAUUUUUAAGUUGUAUUUUUUUUCACAUAUUAAUUAAUAUUUUCUCUUUCCCACUUAACAGGAGCAAUAAGAAACUGUUGAAGUUGAUCGACUAUAGAAACAGAAGGGAAGAUGAUGGCAAUUGACAAAAGAAAAAGAAAAGAGAGGGAAAGCAAAGGCAAGUACUUGUAUCUAUUAAUGGCAAUUGACAAAUGAAUGUUAAAAGAAGAGAAAUAUCCUGAUAUAUAACAAAAAAAAAAAAAAGCCCUCCGUUUCUCAAAUACUUAUCACAUUUCAAAAAGUAAUAUUUUUUCAAAAUAAUAAUUAUUUUUUCCAUUUUUAAUCUUUGUAAUAUGAUAAAUUAAGAGUAGUACAGUCUAUUCAAUAGAUAAUUUAUUAUAACAUAUAGACAAAUUAAAUAAUUUUUUAAGGAGUCUAAAAUAUCCAAAUGUUACAAGAAAUUUGAAAAAAGACAUAAUAUAGUCAAUUCAUACCCACGAUCCUCCAUAACUCUACUCACUAAAUCCACGUGUUUUAUGCCCUUGCCUUUAAGAUUUUUCUUUCAUAUUCAUCGACAAUUAUCUUAUCUCGUAACAUAGUGCAUGUUUGCAAUAAAUGGAUUAUACAAAAUUUUUUAGUUAUAUUUUUAAUAUAAAUUUUAAUUUUUAUGUUGGAAUAAAAUUAUCAAUUAUUUUAAUUAUCUAAAAUUAUUGCCAUAUGUAUUUUAAAAUUAAAUCAAUUUUAAAUUUUAAAUUUAUUUAUUUUAUAUAUAAAACCAAAUCAAUGUGUUUUAUCUUAUCUCAUUUUGCCAGUGUUAGCUCCACACACCAUACACAGACAAAGGCAUCUUUUAUGAAUUUUAACUCUUGGCCAGAGAUAUCGUGUUACGGGAUAAGAUAAUUGUUUUUUUCCUACAAAUAUAUUACGGACAACAUAGUGACACUCCAAUUAUUCUUGUUGAAAUAUCUUUAUUGUGAUAUUUUUUUUAGAUAUUAAUAAUUUAUAUAUUACGAGUUUACUAUAAUAUCGUUAUAGAUUUGCAGGGAAUUUCUUUUUCCCUUCCAAGUGUUUGGAAAUCUAAAUAAGGUUUGAUUUUGUUAAAAAAAUGUCGUAAAAUUAUAAUUGUUUAGGUAUAAACAUAUAUAUUAUCCAUGUAUAUUCUUGAAAUUUGAUAUUUCAAUAUGUUUAAUGUGAUAAUUGUGUUAAGUUAUUAUCAAUUUAGAAAAUAAAUGUGCAAUAGAGUUAAUAUAAGGUGAUUUGAUAAUUUCUUUAAAGCUUUGUUUGGAAAGAAUAAUUUUUUUGUAGAAAGAAAAUAUGCAAGAAUAAUAUUAAGUUUAAUUCCUCGUUUGCAAAAGGGUGAGAAAAAUAUCAAAAACAAUGAAAAUAUCUCUUCAAAUUGGAAAAAAUAAUAAUAAAUGAAUGGAGAAAAUUGAAAUAUCUAAUAUGAAAUUUAUUUCCAUUAUUAUUUUUUUCUUUUUUGUUUCGUCUCUCCAUCAAAAUACAAGAGUGGAAUAUAAUUAAAAUAAUAAUAUUUUAGGAGAAAGAAAAAAAAAAAGGUAAAUCUCAAUUAAUUAGAUAGAUCCACGAUUUUCGUAUAAAAAGUCAAAGUAACAAAUAAUAAUAAUAUACUAAUAAACUAUAAUGAAGAAGAAGGUUACAGACAUCGAUUGCAAUGGAGAGCAAGGCAGCAGUUGGACAUGUUUGGACUUUGGAGAAUGGAGGGAAGGAAGAGUUCGACAAUAUAUGAGAAAACGUGAAAGGUCGUUUUCGUUUAUGAUCUUCCCUCUUGUUUAAAAAAGGAAACUACAGAAUAUAAAGAAAACCAAAUCAGUAGCAAAUUGCUUCCAUUUUCUCGCACUGUGUUCUGCUUCUUCUAUCAAAUGCAGGUACUUCCUCUGUCUCUCUUUGUACUGAAGUGAGAGAAUGGCUUUUCUGGUUUCAAUUUUCAACUCAUGUUUUAAACAAUAAUUCGCAUCUAUUUAAAGUUAAAUUGCAUUCACCAAAUUCAAUAGCCUCUCCAGUUCUCUAAAACCGAAAUAAGCUAGUUCAGAGGAUCUGGCCCAAGCAUAAAAAUUAUUUAUUUCUUCUCAAUUUCUAUAAAGCUGGUAAAUUUAUUUAGAAGACCAGCCAAAUGUAAAAUGAUUAAAUUAGGACAUCAUAAACGCCAAGCUGCAUAUGGGGUUGACACUUUACCUGGACCUAACUAUUUCUUCUUUCAUGGCAAGUGAAAGAGAACUGAGAUUGCCUCCACUUUCCACUAUUACCCCUGGCAUGGCAAUUGCCCUGCUUCCCACAAACCCACCUUCUCCAACUUUUAUUUUACCGAAUUUAACCUUUCCUUCAUCUCCUUCAUAUACGUGUCCAAACAAAAGAGCUUCUUUUCCAACACAGCCACCUUUCUCUAUCUCCACCAUUUCUGGAUUCAAUGCAGCUCCCAUGCUAUCUACGUAGGCCCCUUGAUCCAAUUCAAUAUCUGAACCCAUCAAUUUCAACCAUAGAUUAAACAAGACGGAGCCACUUGUCAUUUCCAUGAAAUAAUCCCCAACUACAGUUCUAAAAGCCUGCCAUAUUGUAUCCCUGAAGACCCCUUUACUCCAAAUUAAUACUGUUUCCCCUUCUUUCUUCUUUCCCACAAGAAUCCAUUUGGCCACAACACAAGCUAUUGCAGCAAGAAUCCCUGAAGAAACCCAAACCAAUGGGAGUAACCAACGAAGUGAAAGUUGCUUGCUUUCCUUCAAGAAAAGGACCCAGUUUAAAGGAGCAAAGAUUACCAAUCCCAUGAGGAAAUAUGGAAACAACGUUUGCAACAAUGGCUGAGCAAAAAUGGCCCAUGAAGUUUGAUACCAAGUUCUUGCCAGAGUUACCUUUCCUGAAUCUUUUUUCUCUAAAAUUGCAGCCAUUGGACAACCUGAAAGGUCUACUUUAACAUCAGAUUGCUCUAUAAACGUUCUCCAAGCCUCUGGAAGGGGUUCCCCAUUUCGCAAAUGCUGACAAAUUUCAUAGAUCAAAGAACGACCAUGAUCAAUUGAUGCACUUUGGGAGCAUGAUGUGGCUCUGAUAACAUCCACCUCAGAACAUCUAAGGUAAGGAUUAAACUCGAGUCUUUCUGAUUCUUCACUGGUGAGAUUUUGAUCAAUAGUAAUUUCCCCAGCAUCAAGGUAUGGGAAUUCAGUUUCAUCCCAUGGUCUGGUGCAGUCAAGUGCUAUGUCACGAGUGGCUUCAUCGGUUGGAACUGCUCGGACUUGCAGCUGGAAAAUGUAGCGGACCCCACCAGGUGAACUUACUCGCCUAUGGAAGUCUUCAGCAAGGAAAAGUAAGGGGCGAGUGUCUUUAUCAUCCCUUGGAAUUGCACCAGUUUCUGGUGGGAGAAUUCCCGUAGGCUCCACCUUACCCGAAUCCUCAGUGAUGCGUUCAUCACAAGGACGCAGCUUGAAUUUCACAUACAUCUCCUGUCCAUCUGUGAACCUGAAAAGCCUGCAAAUAUUGGAGUAGUAAUGUAGCUCAGCAUAUGAAUCGGCAUUGCGAAGAGACGUCCACACUGCAUCACGGACAUGUGGGGCCCGUUUCACAAAUUCCUCCCUUGCUGGAAGUCCACACACUAGCCAUGUUGCAAAAUCAGCAAUUGUUCGGGCAUAGAAUGCGUUGCCUGUUUUCAGUGUCAGGUCAAGGAUUGAGGCCUUACCUCUAAGUUCUUUUUCAUUUGAAAGUAUUCUUAUCGAUGCACCACGUGCAUCCAUUCUUGCAUCAUCAUCAGCACUUAAGCUAUUGCUGUGGCGAAUUACAAUGGGAUACCUCUUACCAGCAUGGAAAAUAUUGUGUUCAGGCAAUCCUUUGAUGUUGUCAUAAAUGUGCAGGUAUCCCUUCCCACUAACACCAAUUCGAUGGAAGUACCUUGAUUUGACCUUCAAAGUUGUGGCGGCCAAAUUUGCAGCUAGAUUACCAACUAUCUUCUUAUAUUUAGUGUCCAUCUCUUCAAUUCUGUCAUCCAAAGCAUGCAUAGUGUUCUUGAUCAUAAUAGGAGUUUGAGACCCAAUAUAAACGCCACCGCUAUGAAGAACUGAAUUCAAUGGAGCAACUGAAAGAGCACCAAGAAUUACAUCUUUCUGAACAACUGAGCCAGGGAGAACCAGACUCUGACUCCCAACAACUGAAUUUUCCUGCACCUCAAUUUUCCCUUGUGUGAACCCAUUGGCUGAAUAGAACCCAGCAAUUAUCCGACUGAAGUCACCAAGAUGAACGCCAGCACCUAGUGUAAUCAAUUCAGGAUCUGAUACAGGGUUGAUGGCCCUGAUAGAACAGUGUUUCCCAACCUUUGCACCAAGGAGGCGUAAGUACACGCAAAAGGCUUCUGUGCCUGCCAGGAGCUUGGCGAAUCUACGGUGGCAGUCAAUAGUAAUUCGAUGGCGAAGCCAAGUCUUAAGGUGGGAUUGCUCUUUCUCUUGUUGUCCAGAAAGAAAAGGGGUCAAAGUGCAGGUAAGGACGCUAAGUAUCAAGCCAUGAGUUAAGUAGGCAAUAGCAACUGAGAUUGAAAAGUGUACUGGAUUUAACGCAACAUUAGCAAACAUUGU